AUCACCCUGCCAUCCAGAGAGUACGGGGUUGAAGCUUAAGGUCUUAAUUGGACCAUAGAAGAAACGAGUAAGGUUCUUCGUUAUACCUCUUGUCACUAUUGUUUCCCAGACCUGUACUACAAUGCAUCGGAGACAUUCUUUGCCCUCCAUGUUCGAUGGUCGAGUGUAUCGAUACUGUUGCGCCACGGCGAUCAUGGAGACGACGUCGGGGAUUGAGAAGAGAGUCAAGGUUGUGGGGUUGACGGCAAACGUUUGAUUGCGAAAUUCCUUGACGGGAAUUCACGUGUCUUGGUCAAUUGGUGGGCAAAACCGAGGGGUGGCUUGCGUUAUGAAGGAUACACUUUGUACUUCACAAUGAAUGAGAAAUUUUUUGGUUGCGACUCCGUUCGGACCGGGAGCCUUGUUUGAUGCCAUUGUCUUCACCGCGGCAUGCGAUUCCGGCUCAAUGAUCCGCCAGGUCAACUACUAGGCCAUGUACUUUGAGAUGGAGUGAGUUACUGCUGCAACACAAUUUGCCUCCGCCUCAUCUUUGUUGCCAUCGGAUGUGCCAGAGACGUAGAACGGGUCUAGUCUUCCCAGCACCUUUGCCUCGUCGCUCCUCCUAUUAUCCCAUGAGAAGGGAAUCGGAUUGGCACAUGAGAACUUAUCCUUGAGUAAGAAACUGCUUUUGAAUUGCUCCCAUAAUAUUUUCUUUUCUUCCAUUACAAGGCAGCCGCAGUUUGAUGAUUUAUCACGUGGCCGCUCUACCAUAUUGAAGUCGCCGCUUACCACCCAUCUACAAUCCGUUUGGAGUGAGAGUGAAAGAUCUUGCUACGAUUCACCAUGAUUAUAGGCGUUGUUUGGAGUAUAGAUGUUCAACAGGCCGAGAUCUCCGCCAGCGAUGUUGCUUAGUCAAAUUUAGUGGGCGCGAUUUGGAAUCACACCCUGGCGUGUGACAAGAGGAGUGAGUACCUCUUUGAGGAGGAUGCUCAAUCCUCCUUUUUCGGUUUCUCCGUGCCAUCUAUGUUAUAACCUACUUCUAUGUUGAUUUCGGCGACUGGAGUGUUGCCUUGGCUGAUGUGGGUGCGUGGCCCCUUUGUGAACUCUUGCUCCUACUUCGGCUCCAAAGAGCUGGAUGAUGUAGGAGAUUCCAUUUUGAGUCGUUGUCGGAUUUGCCACUCCGUGAAGCUAUCUCCAUUAAACGUCGGCAAUUCUCUCUACUCCUCUCGUGUUGUUAAGUUGACAUUCAAGUCAAUGGGCGGGCAGGGCUCUUGAUUCAGGGAUGUUAGGCUCCAGGUGGAGAAGGUGCCCCAUGUCAUGUCCGCCACAGUUUGGUUCUGCUGUUCAUCUUGGUCAACCUCAAUAUUAUGUGGAGGGAGAUCUGGUAGGCUAGCUUCUUGAUCAAGGUUUGUUUUGGAGUCCGUCCGAAAUGUUGUAGAUGUCACCCUUGGGGAUGGAGGUGAAGUGCUAGGCAGAUGGCUCGGUAUUCCAGAGUAUGGUCCCAAGUGUGAGUGAUGACUCUUGGUCUCGCAAGAGUUGAUCGGCAAGGAUUGGCGACGUUGUAUUUACUUCUUGCGGUGUGGUGCUGUGUCUUAGUCUGGAGGCAUCUGUUGAUAAAAGAUUGCUCAGAUUAGUAGAGUUCUGAACUUGAUUAGGUGUGAGAUGUUUACCUAGUGAUUUUGUAGCAGUAGCACUCUGUGUUGGUAGUUGUGAGCCUGCUGAGGAGGUUGUGUUCUAUUCAGCAAUGGUGAUGUGUGCCACUGUUGUAUCAUGCGCCCUUGCGAUAUAUUUGGCGAUGUGUGUGUGAUCUGAAUUCAAAGCAAGCAAUGGUAGGCCUUUUAGAUUCUGCCGUCCUCAGUCUACUGUAAUGAACCCAUCAGCAUCAAUGGGUGUUGGAGUUGCUUUGUGAA